GACGAACGCUGGCGGCGUGCUUAACACAUGCAAGUUGAACGAUGAAGCUGGAGCUUGCUCCGGUGGAUUAGUGGCGAACGGGUGAGUAACACGUGAGCAAUCUGCCCUUGACUCUGGGAUAACUGCGGGAAACUGUAGCUAAUACCGGCUACGAGGCUCGAAGGCAGCUUCGGGUCUGGAAAGAAUUUCGGUCAAGGAUGAGCUCGCGGCCUAUCAGCUUGUGGGUCAGGUAAGGGCUCACCAAGGCGACGACGGGUAGCCGGCCUGAGAGGGUGAACGGCCACACUGGGACUGAGACACGGCCCACACGCCUACGGGGGGUAGGGGUGGGGAAUAUUGCACAAUGGGCGAAAGCCUGAUGCAGCAACGCCGCGUGAGGGAUGAAGGCCUUCGGGUUGUAAACCUCUUUUAGCAGGGAAGAAGCGAAGGUGACGGUACCUGCAGAAAAAGCACCGGCUAACUACGUGGCAGCAGCCGCAGUAA
rnacentral:rRNA from 1 species